rnacentral:lncRNA from 1 species
AAGAAACAUUUCAAACGAUCUUAGAUGAUGUCUUCAGUUUUUUUUAUUAUAAAGGUUUUCGGAACUGAAAAACAAGAACAAAAGAAGCUAAGAAAACAAAGAGGACAAGAGAACAUAGACGAUACUCAAUCUGUUGAUUUCUUAUUCUGGUGAUUCAAAACCAAAGGCAGUGGAGACAAAUUGAUGAUAUGAAAGAAGAUGGUUAUUAGCUGUCUAUCGAAUUAAUGAGACUCUUGAUUCUCUAGAAUUUGCAUCACCCGAAAAGCAGCAGACACUGUUACUCCUAUACCCACAUCUAUCUAAUAGCAUUGUUUAAAUCAGAGGAUAAAAGGAACACUUCACUGACGCAUGCAGAAGCUAUGUGGUAGGCUUGUAUAGUGGGAUAAGAGUAUAAUGGGAAGUAAAAUGACACGGUAAAAUGGUGGGUAGAAACCAAAUUAGUGUUCAGUUUAGGUGUAUGUGCACCAAUUACUCCAGUUAAAAAGAAAAUAAAAUUAAAAAAAAACAAGGAAAAUAUGUGAAAUAUAUAAAAGAUUGUUGUCAAAGAAGAGAAUGCGAUCUCUAUUGCCUCUGCCUCUUUCUUCUUCAUCUUCACAGAGAAGAUAUCCCCUAUAUAUUAAAGGAGAAGCACUUAAAAAAAUUUCCUUAAAAGUGUAAUCUGACGUGGCUUCAUGAGAAGGCUUUAUUAACAAAAUAGCACACGUGUCACUUGGAGAACAUAUGUUAAAAAAACGGAAUCAUUUAAUGCCAUUCCAUAUUUCCAUAAUUAUUGACGCCAUUCUGAAACUUAAAUUCACGUAAACGUUAAAUUUAUUUUUUUAGUGCUUCUGUCGAUUCUCCAAUCCUCCAACCCUAUGUGAUGUGUUCGUUUUCGAUGACUACGUAAGAGGCAUAGGGAAUUUGCUUUAUUGCAGAAAGGAACGCGGAAGAGAUGGUAAAGGAAGAAGCAAUAUGGGAAGUGUUGAGGAUCUCAAGAGAAAGCCCGACAGAGCCUUAGAUAGC